AUGGCUAAGGAGACCCACACACCAGUGAAGCCCAAAGAAAAUACGAAACAACCAAUUGUAAGCACGAAAAAGCCAACCCCGAGAACCAAAGAGAAGAAGGAAAAGAAGAACUCUUGUCAACAAAAGACCAACAAAACUGGCAAGGUGGAGAAGAAAAUCACAAAGGUAAAAAAACCCCUUCAAAGGAAUUCAAGAAAGAAAACUCAAUCACCUCCUUCCUGCUCCAAAAAGCCUAGGAUAACAAUGAGACCAACAAUAUUUGUGUGUCACCACAAGCAGAAUAAGACGCAAACUAAAACUCAGAAGAGCAAGCACAAAAUACAACGGAAAAUAAAAAUCACAAGAGCAAGCCCAGAAGCCAUUGGCAACAGCAAACCAUCCCAAGUAACCAUCUCUGCUGCCAGUAAAUGCAGAGCCUGGAUCAGAAAUGUACAACUAGCAACAGCAUCUCCAUAGGCAACUCUGGGGAAUCACCCAUCACAUAAAGGCCGAAUCUGAGACCAAGAGUGUUCCACCAUGUUGAUGAACGCAAUAAAAUCAGCACAAUGUGAAAAGAUGAUGUGGACUUUGUCUGUAGUGGGGAGGGGGUUAAGGAAGAAAAACUGGUAAGAGGGAGAGAGGCAGGGUCCUGCAUGGUUGGGGGCCAGACCAACAGGUAUACAGUUACCCAUCGGGGGGGAUAAGGAGUGGGUGAGGACUAAGAAAUGAAGACUAAUGAACACUUUGCCGCCACAGACAAGAAGGAAAAGGGUUUUGGUGUUUCUACAUGUAUUUAGGGUAGGUGUGGGUAGCAACAUCAAGGUCUGAAUUCCCAGAACCCAGUUAGGAAGAGGGUUUCAUGUGUGAUGUGUGUGGCAAUAACACACUGCACAAAAAGACACUAAAACCACCUCCAGAUUACCCGCGUCACAGUGGUGUCUGUUGUACCCCACACUAUGCUGUAAGCAAGUAAAGGCCCUCAGGAGGACCCAGAACUCAUCCUGUCAAGAGUCACUCCAGCAGCCUGAAAGACAAAUGGUGGAGUCUGGAGGCCACAAACCCAGCGCUAAUUAGGCCACUUUCUUGUUAAGUAGCUUAGGAUGGAGCAGUGGCCUACCAAGCGUGGGGGCAGUGGCAGAGGUCUGCCCACUUGCUGGCCAUAAAGAGAAACAUUGUGUGCGGAGAAUUUUUUUUUUUUUUUUGAUUUUGAGAUGGAGUCUCGCUCUAUUGCCCAGGCUGGAGUGCAGUGGCCGGAUCUCAGCUCACUGCAAGCUCUGCCUCCCGGGUUUUACGCCAUUCUCCUGCCUCAGCCUCCCGAGUAGCUGGGACUACAGGCGCCUGCCACCACGCCCGGCUAGUUUUUUUGUAUUUUUUUAGUAGAGACGGGGUUUCACCGUGUUAGCCAGGAUGGUCUCGAUCUCCUGACCUCGUGAUCCGCCCGUCUCGGCCUCCCAAAGUGCUGGGAUUACAGGCUUGAGCCACCGCACCCUGCCGAGAAUUGUAAUAUAAGAAUAAUAAAACCCAGUAAAAGUCAGUCUUUUACUUAUUAGCAUCACAUACAAGUUUUCAACUUUUCUCCCCCCACAUCCUCUUUUGGUCUGAGCUGUAAAAGAUUGCUGUGGUUACAUUUAAGCUUGAAGAAAAUCUAUGUAAGGUGCGAAUUCACUGAUUUUUAAUAUUUCUGUUUUAAUAAUCAUUUGAUUCUACAGGGAAGUUAAUUUGGAUAAAUCCUCAUUAAAUAGUUGGUCCAAGACAUAGGCUGUUCCCUUCUAAAGUAAGCUCUGAACAAUUUGGAAAUGUUUUGAUGCGGAACAGGGAAGCCCCACACUUGGGGCUUAGGUGGGAGGUUCUUGGCUUCACUCAGGAAAGAAUUCAAGGGCAAGCCGGUGAUGUUAAACAGCAAGUUUAAUUGAAGCAGAAGUGUGCGGAGCAGCAGAGGAACUGUUCCUGCUUCUUGCAGAGCAAGGCUGCCCCAUGGGCAGUGUCCCCAGAAUAGCAGCUCAGAGGCAGUUCUGCACUCAUGCUGAUUCCCACUUUCAAUUAUAUUCACAUUAAGGAGCAAUUUAUGCAGCAAUUUCUAGGAUGAGGGUGGUAACUUCCAGGUUGUCAGGUCAUUGCCAUGGAAGGGGGCAGUAACUCCUGGGUGUUGCCAUGGAAUAGUAAAUUGACAUGACACAUUGGUAGACAAGGCUUAAGGAAAGCUGCUUCUGCCCUAGACCUGGUUUAGCCAGUCCUCAAUUCGGUCGGCUGUCCAAGCCCCGCCUCUGGAGUCAAGUCCUGCCUCCUACCUCCGUUUGAGCUUGCUUUGAGCAUACUUCCAGACUGCAGUCCCUGUGGUAAUAUAUGAUACAUAUGUCUACACUUUCAAAGUACACAAAAUUAAAAAUUACAGCAUGUGAUUAUAAAGACAAAGAAAAACCAGAGUUACCGCAGCUCUGUGAUUCUGUGUGAUCACUUGCUUUUAUUGGUGUCUAAAUCAGUGAAACGAAGUGUUAAAUUUAAGGAGUAAAAUUUGGGGGGAUAAAGACGUUUUUAUUACAUUUGAAAAUAAAAGACUUUACUGAAUUUGAACAAUAUACUCAAGCAUGAAAUGUAUUCUUUAAUUGCUCAUUAAUACUACGUAAAAAUCAAAAUGCUAAAAUGUUAUAUCAGUUGCAUAAUUUAGUAGUUGCCUACAUUUUACUUUUACAUGUUUUAAUUUUCUUAAAAUUGUCUUAUGAUUUUUACUAUGACAACUAUAUGCAAAAUGUUUUAUAGAGAAAAUCUACACUUUAUUUUCUUUCUGGUUAUAAUUAUUUGUGUUAAUUCAUGUGUAUUACUAAAAACAUAUUCUGUUGAGGAAGGGGCAUUAAAAAU
rnacentral:lncRNA from 1 species